rnacentral:rRNA from 1 species
AGAGCGAACGCUGGCGGCAGGCCUAACACAUGCAAGUCGAGCGCGUGUAGCAAUACACGAGCGGCAGACGGGAGAGUAACACGUGGGAACGCGCCCUUCGGUUCGGAAUAACUCAGGGAAACUUGAGCUAAUACCGGAUACGCCCUUACGGGGGAAAGAUUUAUUGCCGAAGGAACGGCCCGCGUCCGAUUAGCUAGUUGGUGAGGUAACGGCUCACCAAGGCGACGAUCGGUAGCUGGUCUGAGAGGAUGACCAGACUCACUGGGACUGAGACACGGCCCAGACUCCUACGGGAGGCAGCAGUGGGGAAUAUUGGACAAUGGGCGCAAGCCUGAUCCAGCCAUGCCGCGUGGAUGAUGAAGGCCUUAGGGUUGUAAAGUCCUUUUAACGGGGAAGAUAAUGACGGUACCCGUAGAAUAAGCCCCGGCUAACUUCGCGCCAGCAGCCGC